UGAGUGGUUUUCUAGAACUUAAGUUAGUAUUACAACUUCAAUAGCCCAAAAUAUUAGCCAACUUUUUCAUUCACUUGAAUCAAACAGUAUAAAAAACCAAGCAUACUACAACACUUAAAAGUUUAUACUGUUUUUGAUGUUAUUCAGGUGUGAAAUUAUUAGGGGUGGAAUGAAGGAGUACCUUACACCAAUGGGACCUACUCCUCUUCAUGUCAACCCAAUAUUUGAGAUAGGCCCUGUUGAACCAAGAUUCUCAGAGUGGUUGGUUUUUGAAGGCAUCAGUGUUGAUGAAAGUGGGAGACAACACUAUCUGGAUGCAAGUGUUGCUUACAAGAGAGCAGUACUCAAUGCCAUUGACUACCUAUCUAAGUUUGGCUACUCCAAAGAACAGGUUUAAGUACAUACAUUGUUUGAAUAUAGUGACCAUCAUAAUUGCAUCACACCACAAUUAUGGUGUAACAUCAAAUCACAAUGACUGUAAUCAUAAUCACAACCACAAUUUAAAACAUCAACUACAUAACACCAAAUAUUCCUGCUUACUUUGACAGAUAAAGUAUGUUAUGUCAAUUAGAUGUUGAAAUGCAAUUAUUUGGCUCUUAUAAAUUUGCAGGGUUCAAUUUAGAGGGUAAAUUAUCCAUGUAUGACGAUUAAAGGUAGAAUCAGGGGCUAAUGUUUGUGAUGAUAUAUUGGCAUGUAUAUAACAUUAUAAUAGUAAUUCUCCCUUUCUCAAUCAAUAAUUAUAACUAUGCACCUAAAGGUUUUAUAUAGUAGUUGUGAUCUUGGAAACUCCCAAAACCAUUUUGGACAAUUACACGCCCAUAAUUAUGGUCGCGAUAAGGUUUUACAAUUAUGGUAGCGAUAAGGUUUUGGCUACUCUGAAUGCCUUAACAUAUUGACUCUUGUAAUAGUUGCGACUCAAAUUUAAUACAGUGUGCACCUUUACUCUCUAAAAUGCAUCUCACAUCUUAGAGGAGCCAAACCCAAAAUAAAAUUUAUGACUAAUUGUUAUUGGUGUUUUAAUUUGUGGACCACAUCACACCUGAUGCAGCCGCAAUAUUGUACUUGUGGUGACCGUCGCAACUGUAUUACACCGUUUUGUGGUGUGACUCUGAAUCAUAAUGAUGUGGCCGCAUCGGGCUGCAACUUAAUCACAUCGGGCUGCAACGUAAUCACAUCGGCUGUGCAACGUAAUCGCAUUGGGCAUGCAAUCACAUGCUGACAUUUUCAAUCACCAAAAAUGUUUCUUGUAUUUCAUAACACUUGCAUUAUACUUGCCUUACAAAGCUAAGUGUUAAAAAAAAUGUGAGGUGGAGAAUAUUAAAAGAAUAUUCAACCAAGAAAAUGUAAGGUGGAGAGCUAAUGAUUUAAUAAUAAAAGGGUGUGAUUAUUGCCAUAACCAGUUUUGGACUUAGUGCAUCUAAUUAAACACUUCCUAAGCAUAUAUAAUGCCAAACUUUAUGUAACAAUAUCUAAUUUCCAAAUUCAUCUACUAGUUUUGUCAAUGGCACCACAAACUCCAAAACUGGUUGUGCCAAUAGACCUGAAUAAGAAGCCAUGGGAACAAAACAUUCCUCUCCAUAAUAGAUGGCACCCUCAGAUACCACCUGUGGCUGAUGUUAAUACUGGUCAAGUCUUUAGAGUAGAGAUGGUUGAUUGGACAGGAGGUACUAUUAAAGAUGAUAACUCUGCACUAGACAUAAAACAUAUAGACCUCUCAACUGUAAGUUUCCUAAAUUUAAUUCUCAAGAUGAAGGCUACUCGGUCAUAGUCGGGUCUAAUAUUAUAGAAAUCAAAUAGGAAGAUGUGCAGAUGUGCAGAUGUGUGUUCUUUCUAUUUAUUUUAUAUGAAGAAGUAUAUGGUUUUACAAGUAAUUAUAUAUGAUUCAGGUACAUUAUCUUAGUGGGCCAAUAAGAAUUAUGGAUAGUGAUGGCAUCCUAGCCAAGCCUGGAGAUCUGCUUGUUGUUGAAAUAUGCAACUUAGGUCCUCUUCCUGGUGAUGAAUGGGGUUAUACAGGAACAUUUGAUAGAGAAAAUGGAGGUGGUUUUUUGACAGAUCAUUUUCCUUGUGCUACAAAAGCUAUAUGGCACUUUGAGGGCAUAUAUGCUCAUUCACCUCAAAUACCAGGUGAAUAUACUCAUGAAUUACUUCUUCUCCAAUGUUGUAAAAUAAUUUCUCUUCUUUGAACGUAGUACUAUAUAUAUGACAUAUUUAUACCAUCUAACCCUCCUCAAAUCCCACAAAGUGGGAGUCUCGAGCACUGUGAUACACUUUUAUAUAUGUCUAUCUCUUGUUUUUUUAACUUUCUUUGUAUACGAACAUUUAAAAAAUGAAACAAAUGGCAAAGUAACACUGUUGCUCUCUGCAUGCUUUAAUAAUCACAUAAUUUUUAAUGUUGAACAGGAGUGCGAUUUCCAGGUUUAACACACCCAGGGAUAAUUGGAACUGCACCAUCAAUGGAACUCUUGAACAUAUGGAAUGAAAGGGAGAGAGACGUUGAAGAAAAUGGUAUUGAGUCUUUUAAGCUCUGUGAGGUUUUGCAUUCACGACCUCUGGCAAACUUACCAUCUACUAACGGUUGUCACCUUGGAACGGUAAUAAUGCAUUGCAAGAACAUCUAUAUAUUAAAUAUGAUGAUAAAUUAUAUCUAUGCAACUUUAAUGCACUAAGCGUUGAGUAGAUUUUUACAACAAUUCAGCUUAUUCUCGAAAUGCUUAAAGUAUAAUUUUUUAUGGUUAGAGGAAAGUAGUAAAUUCAUUCUUAAAUUUUGUUUUAAAACACUGUUCCUAAUGCUAAAUCCACUUCACUAUAGUGAAGGCUUCAAUGUUAGAGUACACUAUAUGAGUAUGUGAGACUUUGCCAAAUAAACUAGAUACUAAGCUGCCAAGUUUGCAAAUGCUAGAAGGAUUUCACCAAUGUUUUGUUGCUUGCUAAGAAGUAUAAUAAAACUUUGUGUUCUAACCUCUUUAAGCACUUUUCUUAAUGGGCAUUCUUGUAGAUUCAAAAAGGCACUGCUGAAUGGGAGAAAAUAGCAAAAGAAGCAGCAAGAACAAUACCAGGAAGAGAAAAUGGUGGAAAUUGCGACAUAAAAAAUCUUAGCCGAGGUUCAAAGAUAUACCUUCCAGUUUUUGUAGAAGGAGCAAAUCUCAGCACUGGUGACAUGCACUUUUCACAGGGUGAUGGCGAGGUCUCAUUUUGUGGUGCAAUAGAGAUGAGUGGUUUUCUAGAACUUAAGUUAGUAUUACAACUUCAAUAGCCCAAAAUAUUAGCCAACUUUUUCAUUCACUUGAAUCAAACAGUAUAAAAAACCAAGCAUACUACAACACUUAAAAGUUUAUACUGUUUUUGAUGUUAUUCAGGUGUGAAAUUAUUAGGGGUGGAAUGAAGGAGUACCUUACACCAAUGGGACCUACUCCUCUUCAUGUCAACCCAAUAUUUGAGAUAGGCCCUGUUGAACCAAGAUUCUCAGAGUGGUUGGUUUUUGAAGGCAUCAGUGUUGAUGAAAGUGGGAGACAACACUAUCUGGAUGCAAGUGUUGCUUACAAGAGAGCAGUACUCAAUGCCAUUGACUACCUAUCUAAGUUUGGCUACUCCAAAGAACAGGUUUAAGUACAUACAUUGUUUGAAUAUAGUGACCAUCAUAAUUGCAUCACACCACAAUUAUGGUGUAACAUCAAAUCACAAUGACUGUAAUCAUAAUCACAACCACAAUUUAAAACAUCAACUACAUAACACCAAAUAUUCCUGCUUACUUUGACAGAUAAAGUAUGUUAUGUCAAUUAGAUGUUGAAAUGCAAUUAUUUGGCUCUUAUAAAUUUGCAGGGUUCAAUUUAGAGGGUAAAUUAUCCAUGUAUGACGAUUAAAGGUAGAAUCAGGGGCUAAUGUUUGUGAUGAUAUAUUGGCAUGUAUAUAACAUUAUAAUAGUAAUUCUCCCUUUCUCAAUCAAUAAUUAUAACUAUGCACCUAAAGGUUUUAUAUAGUAGUUGUGAUCUUGGAAACUCCCAAAACCAUUUUGGACAAUUACACGCCCAUAAUUAUGGUCGCGAUAAGGUUUUACAAUUAUGGUAGCGAUAAGGUUUUGGCUACUCUGAAUGCCUUAACAUAUUGACUCUUGUAAUAGUUGCGACUCAAAUUUAAUACAGUGUGCACCUUUACUCUCUAAAAUGCAUCUCACAUCUUAGAGGAGCCAAACCCAAAAUAAAAUUUAUGACUAAUUGUUAUUGGUGUUUUAAUUUGUGGACCACAUCACACCUGAUGCAGCCGCAAUAUUGUACUUGUGGUGACCGUCGCAACUGUAUUACACCGUUUUGUGGUGUGACUCUGAAUCAUAAUGAUGUGGCCGCAUCGGGCUGCAACUUAAUCACAUCGGGCUGCAACGUAAUCACAUCGGCUGUGCAACGUAAUCGCAUUGGGCAUGCAAUCACAUGAGAUUCAAAAAUAUUUUUUUAAUCACAAAAUAAUUCACACCGCAAUGGCGCAAUCUGUAUGGCAACUGUAGCACUUUAAAAUACUGAUUCUUACAUUUUGAACAUCAGGCG
rnacentral:lncRNA from 1 species